GACGAACGCUGGCGGCGUGCUUAACACAUGCAAGUUGAACGAGGAGCGAUGGAAGCUUGCUUCUAUCAAUCUUAGUGGCGAACGGGUGAGUAACGCGUAAUCAACCUGCCCUUCAGAGGGGGACAACAGUUGGAAACGACUUCUAAUACCGCAUACGAUCUAAUCUCGGCAUCGAGGAAAGAUGAAAGGUGGCCUCUAUUUAUAAGCUAUCACUGAAGGAGGGGAUUGCGUCUGAUUAGCUAGUUGGAGGGGUAACGGCCCACCAAGGCGAUGAUCAGUAGCCGGUCUGAGAGGAUGAACGGCCACAUUGGGACUGAGACACGGCCCAGACUCCUACGGGAGGCAGCAGUGGGGAAUCUUCCGCAAUGGACGAAAGUCUGACGGAGCAACGCCGCGUGAGUGAUGACGGCCUUCGGGUUGUAAAGCUCUGUUAAUCGGGACGAAAGGCCUUCUUGCGAACAGUUAGAAGGAUUGACGGUACCGGAAUAGAAAGCCACGGCUAACUACGUG
rnacentral:rRNA from 1 species